AACGGCCGUACCAUGCUGAAUAUACCAGUUCUGGUUAGAUCACCGAAGUCAAGCAUCAUUGGGCGCGAUCAGUACUUGGGUGGGUGACCACCUGGGAACACCGCGUGCCGUU
rnacentral:rRNA from 1 species